UUAAAAAGGCCACAUCAGGAGGGCUAUCUAGCCACUAACCGCUCCAGCUGGCUGCAGGAAUGUUGUUGCUUUACCUUUUUGCUUUAGUCUCCUUUUUGUGUGUCUCUAAUGUUUUUGCUUCACGCUUCCUUUUCACGGCUUGACUGGACUCAUCAGACGGUUUCACCUAUCUGAACAUAACCCUCUUACUGGACAGCAAGAUUGAGGGGAUGAUCAGCUGGUGGCACCGGGCCUAACACAGCUCUUACCAAAGCAAGCUUCUGGCGAGUGUGGAUCCCUCUUGGUGGUGGUGUCCCUUUCCAGUGUGACGUGUCAUUUUUUUCCCCUUGGGUUUAUGUUUUUUUUCUUCUCUGUGUAAACGUUGGUGUGGGCCACGGGUGACCUGGUGAUGCUGGGAUGACUUCUCCUUUUAGUUUUCCACUUCCCUCCAGUAAACCUCAGCUGACUUGUAUUCUAAGCUUAAACUUUUGAAAAUUGUUUUAUUAUUAAUUAUAAAUAAACUUUUGUGUGAAUGGAA